rnacentral:lncRNA from 1 species
UUCAUUAUAUAAUCAUCAUAGCAUCCAAAUUCAAAAUUAUGAAUCAAAGCACCAAACCCUAAAGAGGUUAAGGGUUUCUCCAUUCUAUCCUUCUAUCAUACCCUUUACUAUUGCAACAAGUUCUCACCCUUACCUUAGAUUUUCCAACAAGAUGCACACUUCAAGCUCUAAAAAUGGAGUUUCCCUUUAGCCCUAUCCCUUACCUCUUCUCACCACAAAAUUCUAU